rnacentral:misc_RNA from 1 species
GUAAUUUUAGGAAUGCCUUCUCUUUUCCUUUUUGUUAUUUUUGUAGUUUCAAACGCUUAACUGCUUUUCUUUUGCUUUUUUCCCCUGAAAAAGGAAACUUUUUAGGUGCUUGCUUUGUCUGGCUUCUUGUUUCAUUCCUUUUCAUUUUUUUCCUUUGAUGUGAUUUGUUAAUUAUGUUAUGUAAGCGAAUUAUUGGCAACUUAAAAGAAGGUUUUUUAACUAGUAGAUGCUGUUUUUAAGUUAGGUCUGAGCUUGAAUUUGUGAGCUAUUUAUUGGUAAGUAUUGUUCUUGUGGUCAUUAGUAAUGAUUUUUAUUGUAUUGUCUAUUUGGGCACUGAGAAUUUAACAUCAAAAAAUUGAUAAGAGUAAUUUGGUAAUUUGUGGAUUCAAUUCGUGAAGAACUAGCGAACUGAUUCUCUAUAUAGAAGAACCAUGAAACAUGUUCUGGCAGAGAAAUUAUGAGAACUAAAACGAAUUAUGGGGAAUUUAGUUGCUUUAGAAAUGUAUUUUCUAGAGCUAGUUGCAAGAAGUGUUACUUUUUUAUUCAAAAUUAUCUCUAUAAAUUUGUGAGAAAUGAAGCCAGAUUUGGAAUAAAUAAUCUACAGAAAACUAACAAAGCUAGUUCUUGCUGGACAUGCCUGUCCUAUGUGUUUAUCUCAUGGGUAACAGUUAGCAUUUAUAAGCGGGUGAUUAUAAUGUCCUAUAACAAAAGUUU